rnacentral:rRNA from 1 species
UACGUAGGGUGCGAGCGUUAAUCGGAAUUACUGGGCGUAAAGCGUGCGCAGGCGGCUGUGCAAGACAGGUGUGAAAUCCCCGGGCUCAACCUGGGAACUGCAUUUGUGACUGCAUGGCUAGAGUACGGUAGAGGGGGAUGGAAUUCCGCGUGUAGCAGUGAAAUGCGUAGAUAUGCGGAGGAACACCGAUGGCGAAGGCAAUCCCCUGGACCUGUACUGACGCUCAUGCACGAAAGCGUGGGGAGCAAACAGG